UUAUCUGAACCUUCGGGGRACGAUAACGGCGUCGAGCGGCGGACGGGUGAGUAAUGCCUAGGAAAUUGCCCUGAUGUGGGGGAUAACCAUUGGAAACGAUGGCUAAUACCGCAUAAUGCCUACGGGCCAAAGAGGGGGACCUUCGGGCCUCUCGCGUCAGGAUAUGCCUAGGUGGGAUUAGCUAGUUGGUGAGGUAAUGGCUCACCAAGGCGACGAUCCCUAGCUGGUCUGAGAGGAUGAUCAGCCACACUGGAACUGAGACACGGUCCAGACUCCUACGGGAGGCAGCAGUGGGGAAUAUUGCACAAUGGGCGCAAGCCUGAUGCAGCCAUGCCGCGUGUGUGAAGAAGGCCUUCGGGUUGUAAAGCACUUUCAGUCGUGAGGAAGGURGUGUAGUUAAUAGCUGCAUUAWUUGACGUUAGCGACAGAAGAAGCACCGGCUAACUCCGUGCCAGCAGCCGCGGUAAUACGGAGGGUGCGAGCGUUAAUCGGAAUUACUGGGCGUAAAGCGCAUGCAGGUGGUUUGUUAAGUCAGAUGUGAAAGCCCGGGGCUCAACCUCGGAAUAGCAUUUGAAACUGGCAGACUAGAGUACUGUAGAGGGGGGUAGAAUUUCAGGUGUAGCGGUGAAAUGCGUAGAGAU
rnacentral:rRNA from 1 species